GAUGAACGCUGGCGGCGUGCCUAAUACAUGCAAGUCGAGCGAACAGAUAAGGAGCUUGCUCCUUUGACGUUAGCGGCGGACGGGUGAGUAACACGUGGGUAACCUACCUAUAAGACUGGGAUAACUUCGGGAAACCGGAGCUAAUACCGGAUAAUAUUUUGAACCGCAUGGUUCAAUAGUGAAAGACGGUUUUGCUGUCACUUAUAGAUGGAUCCGCGCCGCAUUAGCUAGUUGGUAAGGUAACGGCUUACCAAGGCAACGAUGCGUAGCCGACCUGAGAGGGUGAUCGGCCACACUGGAACUGAGACACGGUCCAGACUCCUACGGGAGGCAGCAGUAGGGAAUCUUCCGCAAUGGGCGAAAGCCUGACGGAGCAACGCCGCGUGAGUGAUGAAGGUCUUCGGAUCGUAAAACUCUGUUAUUAGGGAAGAACAAAUGUGUAAGUAACUAUGCACGUCUUGACGGUACCUAAUCAGAAAGCCACGGCUAACUACGUG
rnacentral:rRNA from 1 species